CUGCUUCACUUGCUCCCAUCGGUGAAUUGGUUUUGCCCACAUCCCAGGAAGAUGUCUUACCAGCAGCAAUGCAAACAGCCCUGCCUGCCCCCUCCAUGCUGUGUGAAGCAGGUCAAGACUAAAUGUGUGGAUCCCUGUCCGUGCCCUCCUAAGUGC